CUUAGCUACUGGAAAGUUCUUGAGCCAUCAUAAUUAUGAAGCUACUCUACUCUUUGGUUGUAUUUUCUGCAUUUUUUGCUUAUUCCUUUGCCUUCCCCCGUCAUGACCCUCCUAGAUUGACCUGUAUGGCAUUAAGUGAACAAUGCAUGGGAAGAGAUGCGUGGAGAAGGUACCAGGAGUCAAUAAGAAUUAAAAAUGAAUAAAUUUUUAUAUUUUUUAUUGAUAUUUUAUGGAAAAUAAAAUUCAUAAGCAAUACAGAGAGACCACAUAGAAGAACCUUCACGUCUCUUAAACAGGACGCCCUAAACUUUGGGUCGUAUAGUAUAAAAGUACAAUGUAUACAAAAUUUGCAUGCUGUAAUUCGAUAGUUGCGUAAGCGUAAAAAAUUAGCUACAAAAAUUUGAUUUAAAAAACUAUAUACGAAAUUUACUAUAAAUAUCACGGCUCGUAAAUAUUAAUGAUUAGUCUAUACUGUUCUUGGCUACUUGAACGUUCUUGAGUUAUUAUAAUUAUGAAGGUGCUCUUCUCUUUGGUUGUAAUUUCUGGAUUCUUGGCUUCUUCUUUUGCUUUCGGCCCUUAUUACCCUCCAGGUCAGUGUUUCGCAAUGACUGAAAAAUGCCUGGGAACAGAUGAGUGGAGAAAGUAUGAGAAGUCACUUAAGAAGGAAUAAAUUUGUAUAUAGUUGAUUGAUACUUUAUGGAAAAUAAAAUUCACAAGCAACAGUA
rnacentral:sRNA from 1 species